GUCUAUGGCUGUGCUACUCUGAACAAUCCUGAUCCCAGCUGAUCCUGGAAGCUAAGCAGGGUCAGGCCUUGUUAGUACUUGGAUGGGAGACCAGCUAGGAAGACCAGGUGCUAUAGGUG
rnacentral:rRNA from 1 species